rnacentral:rRNA from 1 species
CCUACGGGGUGCAGCAGUGGGGAAUUUUGCGCAAUGCUCGUAAGAGUGACGCAGCGACGCCGCGUGAAUGACGAAGGCCUUCGGGUCGUAAAGUUCUUUCGACAGGGAAGAAAAUGCCUAUAAGUAACUGUGUAUGUAUUGACGGUACCUGUAUAAGCAGCCCCGGCUAACUCCGUGCCAGCAGCCGCGGUAAUACGGAGGGGGCGAGCGUUGUUCGGAGGGACUGGGCGUAAAGAGCACGUAGGCGGUGUUGUAAGUCAUUAGUCAAAGACUAGAGCUCAACUUUAGUAAGGCUAGUGAUACUAUAAUACUAGAGUAUCAGAGAGGAGUGCAGAAUUCCUGGUGUAGCGGUGAAAUGCGUAGAUAUCAGGAGGAAUACCGUUAGCGAAGGCGGCAAUCUGGCUGGAAACUGACGCUGAGGUGCGAAAGCGUGGGUAGCAAACAGGAUUAGAUACCCUUGUAGUC